rnacentral:rRNA from 1 species
AUUGAACGCUGGCGGCAGGCUUAACACAUGCAAGUCGAGCGAGCGGCGGACGGGUGAGUAAUGUCUGGGACACUUCCUGAUGGAGGGGGAUAACUACUGGAAACGGUAGCUAAUACCGCAUACCAUCAGAUUCGCCCAGAUGGGAUUUGCUAGUAGGUGGGGUAAUGGCUCACCUAGGCCACGAUCCCUAGCUGGUCUGAGAGGAUGACCAGCAACACUGGAACUGGGAACCGGUCCAGACUCCUACGGGAGGCAGCAGUGGGGAAGAUAGCACAAUGGGCGCAAGCCUGAUGCAGCCAUGCCGCGUGUGGGAAGAAGGCCUUCGGGUUGUAAAGCACUUUCAGCGAGGAGGCGUUACUCGCAGAAGAAGCACCGGCUAACUCCGUGCCAGCAGCCGCGGUAAUUC